AUUGAACGCUGGCGGCAUGCUUUACACAUGCAAGUCGAACGGCAGCGCGGGCUUCGGCCUGGCGGCGAGUGGCGAACGGGUGAGUAAUACAUCGGAACGUGCCCAGUAGUGGGGGAUAGCUCGGCGAAAGCCGGAUUAAUACCGCAUACGACCUGAGGGUGAAAGCGGGGGAUCUUCGGACCUCGCGCUAUUGGAGCGGCCGAUGGCAGAUUAGCUAGUUGGUGGGGUAAAGGCCUACCAAGGCGACGAUCUGUAGCUGGUCUGAGAGGACGACCAGCCACACUGGGACUGAGACACGGCCCAGACUCCUACGGGAGGCAGCAGUGGGGAAUUUUGGACAAUGGGCGAAAGCCUGAUCCAGCAAUGCAGCGUGGGUGAUGAAGGCCUUCGGGUGGUAAAGCACUUUUGGCGGGAACGAAAAGGACUGUGCCAAUACCACGGUUCGAUGACGGUACCCGCAGAAUAAGCACCGGCUAACUACGU
rnacentral:rRNA from 1 species